UAAGCGGAGGAAAAGAAACCAACAGGGAUUGCCCCAGUAACGGCGAGUGAAGCGGCAACAGCUCAAAUUUGAAAUCUGGCUUCGGCCCGAGUUGUAAUUUGCAGAGGAAGCUUUAGGCGCGGCACCAUCUGAGUCCCCUGGAACGGGGCGCCACAGAGGGUGAGAGCCCCGUAUAGAUGGACGCCUAGCCUGUGUAAAGCUCCUUCGACGAGUCGAGUAGUUUGGGAAUGCUGCUCUAAAUGGGAGGUAAAUUUCUUCUAAAGCUAAAUACCGGCCAGAGACCGAUAGCGCACAAGUAGAGUGAUCGAAAGAUGAAAAGCACUUUGAAAAGAGGGUUAAAUAGCACGUGAAAUUGUUGAAAGGGAAGCGCUUGUGACCAGACUUGCGCCGGGCGGAUCAUCCGGUGUUCUCACCGGUGCACUCCGCCCGGCUCAGGCCAGCAUCGGUUCUCGUGGGGGGAUAAAGGCACCGGGAACGUAGCUCCUCCGGGAGUGUUAUAGCCCGGGGCGUAAUGCCCUCGCGGGGACCGAGGACCGCGCAUCUGCAAGGAUGCUGGCGUAAUGGUCAUCAGCGACCCGUCUUGAAACACGGACCAAGGAGUCAAGGUUUUGCGCGAGUGUUUGGGUGUAAAACCCGCACGCGUAAUGAAAGUGAACGUAGGUGAGAGCUUCGGCGCAUCAUCGACCGAUCCUGAUGUUUUCGGAUGGAUUUGAGUAGGAGCGUUAAGCCUUGGACCCGAAAGAUGGUGAACUAUGCUUGGAUAGGGUGAA
rnacentral:misc_RNA from 1 species